UACAGAGGUCCCGAGCGUUGUUCGGAUUCACUGGGCGUAAAGGGUGCGUAGGUGGCAUAGAAAGUUUGAUGUGAAAGCCCCGGGCUUAACCUGGGAAUGGCCGUUGAAACUGGCGAACUGGAGUGUGGCAGAGGGGGGUGGAAUUCCGCGUGUAGCAGUGAAAUGCGUAGAGAUGCGGAGGAACACCGAUGGCGAAGGCAGCCCCCUGGGCUAACACUGACGCUCAGGCACGAAAGCGUGGGGAGCAAACAGG
rnacentral:rRNA from 1 species